AGAGUUUGAUCCUGGCUCAGGACUAACGCUGGCGGCGUGCCUAACACAUGCAAGUCGAACGAGUUGGUUUAUAGUAGCAAUAUUGUAGACCGGCAAGUGGCGAGAACGGGUGAGUAACACGUAGAUAAUCUGCCUUUCAGACGGGGACAACUCAGGGAAACUUGUGCUAAUACCCGAUGAGACUACGGGAGGGGACUUCUGUAGCCAAAGGUGGGGGUAACCUCACGCUGAAAGAUGAGUCUGCGUCCUAUCAGCUAGUUGGUGGGGUAAAAGCCUACCAAGGCGAAGACGGGUAGCCGGCCUGAGAGGGUGAACGGCCACACUGGGACUGAGACACGGCCCAGACUCCUACGGGAGGCAGCAGUGAGGAAUUUUCCGCAAUGGGCGCAAGCCUGACGGAGCGACGCCGCGUGAGGGAUGACGGCCUUCGGGUUGUAAACCUCUUUUAUAAGGGAAAAAGGUUGGCAUGCUAAUACCAUGUCAAUUUGAGCCCCGGCUAACUACGUGCCAGCAGCCGCGGUAAUACGUAGGGGGCGAGCGUUGUCCGGAGUUACUGGGCGUAAAGAGCGUGUAGGCGGUUGGAAAAGUCAGGUGUGAAAUUCUUCGGCUCAACCGGGGGACUGCGCCUGAAACUUUCCGACUGGAGUUUGGGAGGGGGAAGUGGAAUUCCUAGUGUAGCGGUGAAAUGCGUAGAUAUUAGGAGGAACACCAGUGGCGAAGGCGACUUCCUGGCUUGUAACUGACACUGAGGCGCGAAAGCGUGGGGAUCAAACAGGAUUAGAUACCCUGGUAGUCCACGCCGUAAACGAUGAGUGCUAGGUGUCGGGGGUAUCGACCCCCUCGGUGCCACAGCUAACGCAAUAAGCACUCCGCCUGGGGAGUACGGUCGCAAGACUGAAACUCAAAGGAAUUGACGGGCCCGCACAAGCGGUGGAGUAUGUGGUUUAAUUCGACGCAACGCGAAGAACCUUACCAAGGCUUGACAUCCCGUGACAGCUAUAGAAAUAUGGUCUUAUAGGUUUAACAUCUAUACACGGAGACAGGUGGUGCAUGGUUGUCGUCAGCUCGUGUCGUGAGAUGUUGGGUUAAGUCCCGCAACGAGCGCAACCCCUACAGCCAGUUGCCAGCACGUAAAGGUGGGAACUCUGGCAGAACUGCCGUUGACAAAACGGAGGAAGGUGGGGAUGACGUCAAAUCAUCAUGCCCCUUAUGUCUUGGGCUACACACGUACUACAAUGGCCUGAACAGAGGGAAGCAAAACUGCGAAGUUAAGCGAAUCCCUUAAAACAGGUCCCAGUUCGGAUUGUAGGCUGCAACUCGCCUACAUGAAGUUGGAAUCGCUAGUAAUCGCAGGUCAGCAUACUGCGGUGAAUACGUUCCCGGGCCUUGUACACACCGCCCGUCCCAA
rnacentral:rRNA from 1 species